GUGGGGAAUUUUGGACAAUGGGGGCAACCCUGAUCCAGCCAUGCCGCGUGCGGGAAGAAGGCCUUCGGGUUGUAAACCGCUUUUGUCAGGGAAGAAAUCCUUUGGGUUAAUACCUCGGAGGGAUGACGGUACCUGAAGAAUAAGCACCGGCUAACUACGUGCCAGCAGCCGCGGUAAUACGUAGGGUGCGAGCGUUAAUCGGAAUUACUGGGCGUAAAGCGGGCGCAGGCGGUUUUGUAAGAUCGAUGUGAAAUCCCCGGGCUCAACCUGGGAACUGCAUUGGUGACUGCGAGGCUUGAGUGCGGCAGAGGGGGAUGGAAUUCCGCGUGUAGCAGUGAAAUGCGUAGAUAUGCGGAGGAACACCGAUGGCGAAGGCAAUCCCCUGGGCCUGCACUGACGCUCAUGCACGAAAGCGUGGGGAGCAAACGGGAUUAGAAACCCUUGUAGUCC
rnacentral:rRNA from 1 species